ACAGAGGGUGCAAGCGUUAAUCGGAAUUACUGGGCGUAAAGCGUGCGCAGACGGUUGCGUAAGUCAGAUGUGAAAGCCCUGGGCUCAACCUGGGAAUGGCAUUGGAUACUGGCGGACUGGAGUGCGGUAGAGGAUGGCGGAAUUCCCGGUGUAGCAGUGAAAUGCGUAGAGAUCGGGAGGAACAUCUGUGGCGAAGGCGGCCAUCUGGACCAGCACUGACACUGAGGCACGAAAGCGUGGGGAGCAAACAGGA
rnacentral:rRNA from 1 species